AAAAGAAAAAGAACAUGAGCUACUUACCUCUGCUUCUAUUGAAACCCAUAAAGAAACUUAACCGUGAAACAAGAUUGUGAUAACCUUUUGUGAAGACAAGGCGAUGUUGGUUUGGAGAUAACAUUCAGUCCAAAGACAUACUUGCAGUCACUUCAACAUCCAUCUCCGAAUACAAAGGAAUGCUACACCUAGAAAUGACACCGGCAACUACAGUGGCAAUCAAUCAAAGCAUGGAAAGCACACUGUAAUUUUGGUUGUCAUUGUAUAAUAAAAAAAAUCACAAUCAGUUGCUUACGUCUGUACGCCGUGUUUUUAUGCCGCCGGCCCGCCGCAACGCGCGGCGGGUCAAAAUUCUAGUUAUCUUAUUAGGAGAAAGAUGGGGCCAAGCCCACCGAAAGCAUACGGCAGCAACAACAUUAUAUUUGGAUGGCAAUACAUUGGGGAGCCAUAUUAAACUAUCAUGGGCCGAAUCAUUCUGCGGGCCACCAAAAUAUACCAAUCCAGUAGCAUUUACAUGAAAUUGGAAUAUUGGGCCUUUAGACAUAUGGACGACACGUCAGAAGAAAAAAAAAAGGGAGCCGCGCAUAAUAGGGUUUUGCACAUAUAUAAUUAAAUCGAUCAGAGGAGGGCUGCAUCGAAUUCGAAAAAGAAGAUUAGAUGAACGAAGAUAAGCAGGAGCGAAUUGUUUUACAAGAAAUCAAGCUUUGGAAUCAUUGGGGUCAAGGGGGAAGCAUAGAGAUCAAGAAAUUUUACGGGUUCUACCUUACGAUUUCUUUUAUUUUCUAGUUUCUUGUUUUUACUUCGAUGAAUUCUUGUUUGAGAUUUUGUUUGAUUGUUUUUAAGACUAUGAUUCUUGGCUAAACGUUCUUUUAACUACCUAGGUUAUGACAA